CCUCUUCCUCUCCUGUUUGGGAGUAAAAGGAAAAAAACACUAUAUGUGGUGCAGUCAUGAAUUUUAAUGCCGCUGCUCAGUCUGAGUAAACACUACAUUGGCUCGCAUUCAGAUAUAUAUAUGGGCGAUGUUCGUAAUGGUGGCUGAUUUCAGAGACAUUAGACGCGAAACAAAGAAGAAAAUAAUUGUGAGGGGAGCCAAAGCUGAUUGAUGAAGCAAAACACGGGGAGACAAAACGGAAAAUGGGAGAGGCAGGAAGGGAAGGAGGAAGGGGAGAAGAAAGUAGUGAAAGAUGGACCAAGAGAAUGAAGGAAAAUCUCAUCUCCUUGUGGAAUAAUCCGCCAUUUAUCACACUGAUGAUGCUCCACCUGGUCUGGCGUUCUGUUUGGCAGUGGUGCCUUCCUGGAGGAGAGCAUAGGUUGAGACGAUGCUGUCAACAACUAGACAUCCUUCCUUUUCUGCUAUAAACUUUUAAUAUUACAUUAACAUAGAAAGUACUCUUAUAUCAUUUAUUCUGUUUCUUUUUUUGUGCAUUCUGCUCUGUCUUCUCAAACCCCUGUGUCAGAUGUUCGCUUGUAUUGAGUCGGGUUCUGCUGGUGGUUUCUUCCUGUUAAAGGACAGUAUUUCCUCUCCACUGUCACUACAUGCAUGCUCAGUAUGAGAGGUUGCUCUAAAUUCAACAUGACACAAGAAAUUGUCUGCUGUCACUACCUGCUCAUCCAGGAGAAGUGAAUGCUGCAAGUCAAUGACUCGAUGCAGUGUACUGGAUUAGAUAAAAACUUUUAUAAAUUAGAUUGAUAAACUGAUCUUAAUGCGCUGUUUGAUCACUAGGAUAAACCAGAAUGCAUGUGUGACUUAACUGAAGUGCCUCGAGAUGACAUUUGUUUUGAACUGGCAUUAUGUAAACAAACUGAAUUAAAUAAAAGACCCAACGCUCACUGUCACAGA